rnacentral:rRNA from 1 species
UUGACUCUUAAUUGGGGCCGGGAAUGAACGAAUAUACGGAAAAGAGCUGUCCCUUUAAUAUAGGCGAAUUUGGUGAGCAAGUGCAAAUACUUGUAUAUUUAAAUUAGACGAGAAGACCCUUGAAGCUUUAGAAAAUUCUUUUGUUGGGGCGACAGAACUGCAUUAAACCAGUUUGCUAAUACCUGAAGGCUAGCAUGUGCGUUGAAGCUACUCGAGGGAUAACAGCAUAAUUUUUAAAAGUUUGUGACCUCGAUGUUGGA